AUACGUAGGGGGCGAGCGUUGUCCGGAAUUAUUGGGCGUAAAGAGCUCGUAGGCGGUCUGUCGCGUCGGCUGUGAAAACACGGGGCUCAACUCCGUGCCUGCAGUCGAUACGGGCAGACUAGAGUUCGGUAGGGGAGACUGGAAUACCUGGUGUAGCGGUGAAAUGCGCAGAUAUCAGGAGGAACACCGGUGGCGAAGGCGGGUCUCUGGGCCGAUACUGACGCUGAGGAGCGAAAGCGUGGGGAGCGAACA
rnacentral:rRNA from 1 species